CCCUUAGAUGUUCUGGGCCGCACGCGCGCUACACUGAUGCAUUCAACGAGUUUCUUCCUGGUCCGAGAGGAAUGGGUAACCUUUUGAAAGUGCAUCGUGAUAGGGAUAGGCUAUUGCAAUUAUUGGUCUUCAACGAGGAAUUCCUAGUAGACGUAGUUCAUCAGACUGCAUCGAUUACGUCCCUGCCCUUUGUACACACCGCCCGUCGCUCCUACCGAUUGAAUGCUCAGGUGAGCCAUUCGGACUUUCAUCAUGCUGGUUUCCAGUUUUGAUGAAGGAAAGUCUUGCGAACCUUAUCAUUUAGAGGAAGGAGAAGUCGUAACA
rnacentral:rRNA from 1 species